GGGACUCCCCUUCCAGGAGCCGGCGGAAUUCUCCCCUCACUAACAACCCAGGGAGAACGAAAGCGCAACGGGCGGCGGCCCCAGAGCGCAGCUCUUCCAUUCCGAGGCGCUGCAGGGGCAGAUCCUGCCCAGGUGGCUCGAAGGAAGGGGACUCGAGGAACGCGCCGUCUAAGCGGAGCCCCAGUCCCAGAGAGCAGAGCCCACUCUCGAGGUCUUGGCCACGGGACUUGGGCAGGUCGUGCUCCAAGCACCGCCUCUGGAAAGAUAGUCCAGAGAGCGCGCGGUGUUUCUCAAGAGACAGGUGCCGGGGCUCAAGAGUCCCAGGAGGAACGCGCUCCAUCCCGAAACCGCCUUUUCCCGAACCUAAAAGCGUGGGAAUCGCGCCCUGCACCCUCUCAGAGGCACGCCGCUCUCCCCUCUUUCCUCCUUCUAAAACUAACAUUUCAUAUGCCCCGCAGCUGUCUUAAUAUUAGGAGGGAGGGCGCUGAUUUGGUGACUGACUUCUGGUGAACCCCGAAACAAAUUAAACCAUGAUUUAAGUCCCAUUUAUAUGCAUGGGAAAUCUGGGGAAGAUGAGCAGGCUCCCGCACAUGGCAUGCAUAUUGCAGGGCAUCUCCUGUGGCGCGUCUCUUGUGCACAAAACAAGAGCGUUAUACAUCUGCCCGUCUUCCUACACAGACAGAGACACCUACAGACACCCACCCACCCACCAGGACAGCCAGCGAUUCUCACUCCUUUCUGGGCGUUCCUGGAGGACAACUAUCUGGAGAAUCGUGCCCAGUGCGUUUUUGUGUAUACAAAUACAGCACGCUAGAACAUCUCUUCCUUAAAAUGCCACCAAGAUUCAGUUUCACAAACUGGUUAUUCCUGAAUGCUUGGGUUUCAGCAGUUUUGCUCACCUGAUAGAUUCGGGUUUGAACCGAUUUAAAAACUCAUUACAAUCAACAUUUACAAUUGAAGGCUUGGCACCAGGUAAAAAAGAUCGUGAGAGGAGUAACCUGAAGAAUAGCUGCCGUCUAGCCACCCCAGAACAACACCCCUCUCACUACAGCGAUGGUGGGGGUAGGCUGCGAUUUUUGAAGAGCCUGCUAAUAGUUUGCUUUUUGGUGAUCUAACAUUAGCCAACCAAGUUACUAAAACAUUAAGGUUGCCAUCGGCUCGUCUAAACCCAUCGACUUCAUUGGGUUUUAGAAUGCUUAACUCUGUGUUUGCGGAUGUGCAGAGGGAAAUCCUGUUCCUUUUGCUGUUCAUUCAUUCAAUAAAUCGCGAUCCUAGAUCUGGAAUUACCGAUCCCUCCCCCGGCAAAUUCUGCUUUGCAUCCCUACACGGUCGGACACGCAUCUCAGAGGUAGAGCUCCGCCAGUCAACAUCACCAUGGCUGGAGACAACCUGUGGGGUCCCCAAGGAGGACAGACGGAAAGGCCCACCAUCACCAGAGACCUCAGUAGCAGCUGCCCUUUCCUCAAUCAAGGGGAAAGCAGCAGGGGCAAGUCCUCCUCAAUCAAGCAGGCAUUUCUAAACAGCCUGCCUGGAAUCACCCUGACAGAGUUGCGUGGCCUUUGUAGAUGUGGUCUGACAUACCCUCCGUCCUCCUGCCUGGACACUUCGUUUUGUUUUGACAUGGUUGCACAAUGCCCUGUCCAUGCAUCGGCGCAGAUAACAGCAGAUGACUGCGGCUAAAUCUAGCUCAAGAAAUGGGAGUGUAGCAAAGGAUGCAAUGUAGUCGAAAUGAAAGACUUAAGCCCCAUUGCUUUGAAUGAGAAAAGAAGGCUUCAGUGCAAUUACAUGGGAGUAA